CCUACGGGAGGCUGCAGUGAGGAAUAUUGGUCAAUGGGCGUGAGCCUGAACCAGCCAAGUCGCGUGAGGGAUGAAGGUCCUAUGGAUUGUAAACCUCUUUUAUAAGGGAAUAAAGUGUGGCACGUGUCCCUUUUUGUAUGUACCUUAUGAAUAAGGCUCGGCUAACUCCGUGCCAGCAGCCGCGGUAAUACGGAGGAUCCGAGCGUUAUACGGAUUUAUUGGUUUUAAAGGGUGCGUAGGUGGGCUGUUAAGUCAGAUGUGAAAGUUUGUGGCACAACCUUAGAAUUGCAGUUGAAACUGGGAGGCUUGAGUAUGGUUGAGGCAGGCGGAAUGCGUGGUGUAGCGGUGAAAUGCUUAGAUAUCACGAAGAACUCCGAUUGCGAAGGCAG
rnacentral:rRNA from 1 species